UUUUGUAUUUCCCCCAGGUCAUGUUCAAUGCGGUUUUGGAGAAUGCUUGUAGUGAGCAAGGGGCAAGGAUGUCUGCUAUGGAUAGCUCAAGCAGAAAUGCUGGCGAUAUGCUUGAUCGCCUUACUCUUACAUAUAACAGAACCCGUCAAGCUUCGAUCACCACUGAGUUGAUUGAGAUUAUAUCCGGAGCAUCAGCAUUGGAGGGUUGAUUUCAAAUAUUUUUCCGAUAGUGACGAAAUAAAAAAUCAGUGUACUGUUUCUCUGGACAUGGUGGAGGUGCUUCCUUUUGAAUGUUUUGUUGAGGUACUUAAAUAAUCCCCCCAGUAAUACAUCUUCCUUUCUGGGAAUUAAUGUACUUUGUGAUGGUUUUAAAUUUCAA